UACGUAGGGGGCAAGCGUUGUCCGGAAUCAUUGGGCGUAAAGCGCGUGUAGGCGGCCUUGUAAGUCCGUUCUGAAAGUCCGGGGCUCAACCCCGGGAGGCGGAUGGAUACUGCAAGGCUCGAGUACGGAAGAGGCGAGUGGAAUUCCCGGUGUAGCGGUGAAAUGCGCAGAUAUCGGGAGGAACACCAAUGGCGAAGGCAGCUCGCUGGGACGUUACUGACGCUGAGACGCGAAAGCGUGGGGAGCAAACAGGG
rnacentral:rRNA from 1 species